rnacentral:lncRNA from 1 species
CAGGAAGGGCUCGGGGCUAUAGUCUUCAGACCUGGCUCAUAAUGAACUCACCUCAAUUUUGAUUUAUAGAUUGAUUAUGGAUCAUUUGUGUUGUCAUCAAUAAUGAUACUAGUGAUUGUAUGGUGAGAUGAGCAAGCUCAUGGACUGCUGGUGUAUGUAAAUUGGCGUAGCACUCAAGAAGGAAGUUUGGCAUCACAUAUCAAAAAUUACUAGAAAUAGUUAUAUUCCUAGAAAAUUACUCUAAAUAAGAGUUUCCACAAUGAUUUAUUAGAAAGAUGCUCAUCACAGUGUAGUUUUAUGAUUGUAAGGUUGUAAAAAACAUAAAUAAGAAAAAAGUUAAUUAAAACACAGUGACCCAGGGGCCUGCCCAGUGGCGCAGCAGUUAAGUUCGCACUUUCCGCUUCUCGCCGCCGGGGGUUUGCCGGUGAGGAUCCUGGGCGCAGACAUGUCACCACUUGGCAAGCCAUGCUGUGGUGGGCGUCCCACCUGUAAACUAGAGGAAGAUGGGCAUGGAUGUUAGCUCACGGCCAGUCUUCCUCAGCAAGAGAGGAGGAUUAGCAGUAGUUAGCUCAGGGCUAAUCUUCUUCUUCAAAAAAAAACACACAGUGACCCAAAUAAUGAAAUGGAAUGCAACAAUUAAAAAUCAUGCAGUCCGAGUAUAUUAGAUAACAGGAAAAUGCCCCUGACAACAUUAAGGGGGAGAGAAGAAUCCCAAACCAUAUAGUAAUUAAUGGCAAUUCAGUUAAACUAAAUUACACAUACUGUGAUAUUGCGAUUUAUAGUAAGAAAUACAUAUUUGGUCUUCGACUCUUAAAACCGUUGGAAUUUUCUGUGAUAAGAGUGAUCAAGGAGUCUUUUGUUAUGUUAACAGUGACUUUUGGAGAGCCCUUAGGUAACUUAAGGAUGGGGGCUUGUUGCCUGGGAAACCAAACAUGUGAUUGGAAGGUUGGAGCUUUCAGUCCCACCCCCAACCUCCAGGGAGGAGAGAGGGGCUGGAGGUUGAAUUCGUUGCCAAUGGCCAGUGGUUUAAUCAAUCAUAACUAAGUAAUGAAGCCUCCAUAGCAACCCAGAAAGGACAGGGUUCGGAGAGCUUCCGGGUUAGUGAACAUGUGGAGGUGCUGGGAGAUAGUGGCGUGUCUGGAGAAGGCGUGGGAGCUCUGCAUCCUUUCCCCAUGAAUCUCUUCCAUCUGGGUGUUCCUGAGUUAUAUCCUUUUGUAAUAAACUGGUAACCUAGUAAGUAAAAUGUUUCUCUGAGUUUUGUGAGCCACUCUAGCACAUUAAUCGAACCUGAGGAGGGGUCUUGGGAUCAUCAGUUGAUCAGAAGUACAGAUAAGCUGCUUGUGACGGGUGUCUGAAGGGGGGUGGGGGGAGAUUUUUAGGACUGAGCCCUUAACCUGUGGAAUCUGAUGCUAUCUCCAGGUGGAUAGUGUCAGAAUUGAGUUGAACUGUCAGACACCCAGCUGGUGUCCUGAGAAUUGCUUGUUGGUGUAGGGGGGACCGCCCAUCACCACCACAUUGGAAUUGGUGCCAGAACCUAUACACAUAUGAAUGUGUGUGUGUGUAUGUGUGUGUGUGUAACAUCAAAAUACAAACAGUGGUGGAAUACAAUCUGGGGAUAAUAGUAUCUCAGUUAUUUUUCUACUUUCUAGUUUUUAGUAUUUUCAAAUGUUUUUGUAGUGAAAGUAAUCAGAAAUACGUAAUUAACUAUAGAUUUUUACAAGAAGCAUUGGAGGCUAUUAUUAAGAGAGACUGUAGCCUCCUGUGGGACUCAGAGAGGGUGACAUGGAAAGGAAACAGACUCUAGUGUUCUCUGAUGUAAAGAAAGCAAAGGCAUCUUGCAAUAGGAAAGAAGCAAUGACAGGGUUUUAGUAAAUUAUUUUCCUAGGUAUUCUCUUUUAGUGAUUCCCUGUGCCUCAGUUUAUCCAAGGGCACACUGAGGUCCAUUUCUGUUUUCACCGAACAAGUUUGCUGGCUCAAGCAGCUCAGUUUCUAAAUGGACUCACAUGUAACAUCUCCCUCAUUCCAAGUGCCUUUCUACAGAGGGACAGGCAUUUCCCUGACUUCGAUUUCUUUCCAGGCCUGAAGGAAAAUCCAAGGACUUUUAGGAUCAGAUCUAAGAAGUUUGGGAUAAUGAUGUACACGUCUCUCCCCACCGUUACCACCAUUUCCACAUAUCUCACAGCAGGGCACUGGAGAAAAGGUCCACAAAAGCCGGAGGCAUGAGUUUGCCCCAUGCUGGCAGAAAUCACCCUGUGAUGGUAGUAAUUCCUGUAAUACUAAAUAACUCACUUUUGUGGACACUUUGCCCUUGACACAGUUUUAGGCGAAUAUAAUUUCUUUCACUUCCCUGAAGUUGCAGGCGUUAGGUGAAGAGUGAGAACGGUCCUGUCUGUCUUAAUCAUUCUCUGAGUCCUUGACCACUGGCCUGUCUUUUUCUCCACACUAUCCAAGAUAUGCACUAGUCACACUAGCCGCCAUCAUGACUCCUGCCGCAUAACCUUGAGCCAGGGCCGAGUGCCUUUCAACUAACAGAGCUCCCUCCUGCUCUGUCCCUGAGGCUAGCCAUUGGCCCAGGGACCUAGAAGAGUUUGGCUUCCUAGUGGUAAAGAGAUCACUGAAGGUUAUCAACUCCCAUCUCAGCACUGAAACUCCAAGCAAAUAUGCCUGUUUAUUUAUUUUUUUAUUUUUUAAAUUUUUUUCCUUUUUCUCCCCAAAGCCCCCCCGGUACAUAGUUGUAUAUUCUUCGUUGUGGGUCCUUCUAGUUGUGGCAUGUGGGACGCUGCCUCAGCAUGGCUUGAUGAGCAGUACCAUGUCCUCACCCAGGAUUCGAACCAAGGAAACACUGGGCCGGCCGCCUGCAGCGGAGUGCGCUAACCCAACCACUCAGCCACGAGGCCAGCCCCAUGCCUGUUUAUUUUGAAUAAACAUGUUUUUCUGGUAAAUAACUCACUUCUGAAUGUUGCCGCUGUCCACUUGAUGUCUGGAAGAGCAGUUGUUGCAUUUUUCAUCAAUAUCACAAGACUAAUCUUUAGCUGUUCCAUGCAGAAAUGGCCAGUUUAACCAAUUGUGAAAUUAUUGGAAUAUAUAAUGGCUGAUAAGUAGCCUCUGCCCCCAGCGCGACUCCCAUGUCCAACCUCAUUGAGGCUGACCCAAUCCUUCCCCAGAACACCCUGGAUUUCCCCCAAAUCCAGCAACUGAAAGGGUUAAUACCUAGCCGAG